rnacentral:rRNA from 1 species
UACGUAGGGUGCAAGCGUUAAUCGGAAUUACUGGGCGUAAAGCGUGCGCAGGCGGUUAUGUAAGACAGGUGUGAAAUGCCCGGGCUUAACCUGGGAACUGCAUUUGUGACUGGCAAGCUAGAGUAUGGCAGAGGGGGGUAGAAUUCCACGUGUAGCAGUGAAAUGCGUAGAGAUGUGGAGGAAUACCGAUGGCGAAGGCAGCCCCCUGGGCCAAUACUGACGCUCAUGCACGAAAGCGUGGGGAGCAAACAGG